CAGUCGCCACGGUAAUACAGAGGGUGCGAGCGUUAAUCGGAUUUACUGGGCGUAAAGCGUGCGUAGGCGGCUUUUUAAGUCGGAUGUGAAAUCCCUGAGCUUAACUUAGGAAUUGCAUUCGAUACUGGGAAGCUAGAGUAUGGGAGAGGAUGGUAGAAUUCCAGGUGUAGCGGUGAAAUGCGUAGAGAUCUGGAGGAAUACCGAUGGCGAAGGCAGCCAUCUGGCCUAAUACUGACGCUGAGGUACGAAAGCAUGGGGAGCAAACAGGAUUAGAGACCCCGGUAGUCCCUGUCUCUUAUAC
rnacentral:rRNA from 1 species